UCGUAUUCAUAUAAAUUAUUUUA
rnacentral:snRNA from 1 species